UUGGGGAUCUGAAGAAACAAAAGACCGUCCUCAUAAAACGGCACAGAGGCACAUACAUGGACGGGAGAAGACAGUCACCCAUGAACCAGGAAGGACAUGGGUCUUCACCUGACACUGAGCCUACCAACGUCAACCUCCAGAACUGUUUUGAUGUGCGGACAAUCCCCCGGAUGGCAAAGCAUUAGCAGAUGGAGGGGAUGGGAGGAAGCAGGAAGAGCUUCCCUCCCAGUUGGAGUGAUUGACUUACAUUAACCACAUAUGGCUACCGG